rnacentral:misc_RNA from 1 species
GAUGAAGAACGCAGCGAAAUGCGAUACGUAAUGUGAAUUGCAGAAUUCAGUGAAUCAUCGAGUCUUUGAACGCACAUUGCGCCCCCUGGUAUUCCGGGGGGCAUGCCUGUCCGAGCGUCAUUGCUGCCCUCAAGCACGGCUUGUGUGUUGGGCCUCCGUCCUCCUCCCGGGGGACAGGCCCGAAAGGCAGCGGCGGCACCGCGUCCGGUCCUCGAGCGUAUGGGGCUUCGUCACCCGCUCUUGUAGGCCCGGCCGGCGCUUGCCGACACAUCAAUCUUUUUUCCAGGUUGACCUCGGAUCAGGUAGGGAUACCCGCUGAACUUAAGCAUAUCAAUAAGCGGAGGA